AAAGAUCAAAUAGAAAAAUUGCUUUUAUUUUACCUCCUCUCACUAGAUUGCAUUUGCUAAUACAACUUAUCUCAUGAUACACAUAAAUUAAUAUCUAUACUUGGUCAGAGCUAGAAGUUGAAGUUGAGGUGAGUACUGGUGUUGCUAUAUAAGUUGGCUUUUCAUCUCCGGCCAUGAUAACAACAAUCUUUGCCUCAGCUUCAAGCCCUGAAGUUCCAAUGUGACUUCUUGGUUUCUCUUCUUCAUUUCCUGAUGUAGUUGCAGAGUCUUUAAAGUAGGAGCAUGCCAGAAUGAUCAAUGCUAAUGCUAUGAUAAUCAGCAUUAGAGCUAAACUGCCAAAGAGGUAAGGUAUUGGAGAAUGCCAUGUAUUUUUGUUGGCAGGCUUCAUUUUAUUCGUUUCCUCUCUUUUUGCGAUGAUGGGUAGUUUUAAUUUGCAAAGGCAAUUUCUUCAGUGAGAUAUUGAUGGGUUAAUGUACUUAUAGGGAAAAAGUUCAUUCAUUUAUAAUUGGAAUAAGAUUUGGCAAUCUUGGGUUGAUUACUAUAAUGCCCUUUUGUGUUUGAGAGAAGAAGAAGAAGAUUCCUCGUGCCUUCACUAGAUGCCUAAUCAUAAUGGUUAAUGAUAUAAUUAAGUUCAACCUUCUUUUAUCAAAUGAAAAUUUGGAAUUGUGGUAAUGAUUACAUGUUUGCAUAUUUACUUGGUGGCUGAUAUGCAUUUUAAAUCUUACUAGAAGUGUUUCAUGAUUAGCCUCAUGAAAAAUUCUAAAAAUACAAUAAUUUAACUUAAUUAAAUUAUAUAAUUUGGAUUUUAAGUUGGAAGGUUAGUAAAACGUAAAGUUAGAAUCGAACUAUCCGACUAGAACACAUUAACGAACGGUAAUUUAUUUUAUUUAUAUAUAAAUUUUCAUAUUUAGUAAUAAUAAUUAUAGAAUUCAUUCUAAAUGAAAUGAAUAUUGUGUUGAUUAUAAUUAAAAAAACAAAAUAAAAUGAGAUAUUAAAAUUUGAAAGAGGUAUUUGGUUUCUAUGAUAUGUAUUUUACUUUUAAAUAUAGAAUUUAUUUAGAAAUUUUAUAUAUUUUAUUAAAAUUUAAUCUAAUUAUAAUUAAAUUUAAAAUUAUAUAAAUAUUGCUAAUAAGUUUAUAAAUAAAUUUUAUAAAAUAAUUUUAUACUUAUUUUUUUGACCAGACAUAAUUUAAAUAUUAUGGAACUAAUUUAUACAGAUGCAAUGUUGAUAUCUUAAUUUAAUGAAAAUAAGGCUACUUAUUUUUAGAGUACCACUGCUUACUUAUUUUUUACCAUAAUCAUGAAUUCUAUAGUAUGAACGGUGCUGAUCAAUGAAUGAAUUAUUCAAUGACUUAAGAGUCGCAAAUUAGUAUUACCCAAAACUGAUAUAAAUAUCAACAAGCAGAAGAAAAAGCAAGUUAAUAAUAUGGCAUUUCAAAGACCUUUUUUCUUUUAAGCAAAGGACCCAUUUAAAGACUAUCACAAAGCCAUAAAUUUUCUGCAAAUCUUAUAUGGGCAUAAUUAGGAAGAUGUAAGAAUGAGAAAGAAAACGAUAAAUCAACACAUCUAACUACCACUGAUAUUGUCAUACUGUUUUGACUUCCAACUAACUAAAGAAUUUCCUGAACAAAACACAAUACCUUGUGACGUAUUUUCUAGUUUCCUUGCAUGUUCCUUAAUUACUAUCAGCAUAUGCUUUCAAUUUAGUUACUGAUAUGGAAGAAAAGAAAAUGCUUUAUCCAGGUGCAUUCUUAAAAUAUCUGACUACUUUCAAGGCUGUUGCUAGAAGGAUAUUUACAUAGUAAGGACAUGCACAAAAAUAUAAUGUCUGGUCUAGUUAAUGUAAGGUACAUCAACUUGCCCACCAACUUUCUGUAUUCAUGCCUUUUCCAAAACACUCGGUUGAAUUUCAAGUUUCAUUAUCUGGAAGCCGUAUAAGGAUUUGUGUAACCCGCAUACCAUCUUAGAGUUGAUCGGAUUCACAUGAACUCUCCCUUUGAAACUGAUAACCCUUAGGAAUAUCCAUGUAUACUUAUUCAAUCAGAUCACCAAUAAAAAACAUUUUGUUAAUGUCUAAUUAGCAAGAUACCAGCCUUAUGAUGCUGCUGAAGCCCAAAAAGACCCAGACAGUUUGUAUUUUUCACAACGGGACUACAUAUUCUUCAUAAUCAAAACCAUAUUUUUUUGGGUGAAACCCUUGGCCAUUAACCUGGCCUUGUAAUUAUCAAGAGUGCCAACUGAGUGAUAUUUGGUUUUGAAAUCCCAUUUGCAACUUAUUAGCUUUUUAUUAGGUGGUAAAGGCAUAAUGAAACAGGCUUUAUUUAGAACUAAUGCUUCUGAUUAGUUGCAACCCAAUGAUCAAAUUGACUGCUUAUUCAUAAGAAGUAAGAUCAAGUUGUAGAAGAGAUGCGCACUUUUGAUAAGAGGGUGGCAACUUGGAAUAACAAAGAACCUAGGAAAAAUUGAAAGUAACAUCAGAGAUUUUAUGAUGAGGGACUGAAGCUUGAUAAUCCUGAAGAUAAGAAGGAAGUUUGACCUGCCUAGUACUUUUCCUUGUAGGACCAGUACCGGAUGAAGAAGAAAGGAUAAGAUCUUGACAAGUGGAGGAAGAAAUAGGUAAGUCAGGUGACUAAACUGAUGUAUGUGAAAAAAGAACAGGUUCAAAAGAGAUAGAAGUUUCUGUAUGUACAUGAGUCAGAAAAGAAUCUUGUCCAUAAGGGACAAGAAAAUUGUGGAUUGAUAUGGGAAUUAUGAAGUUGAAAAGGAAAUAUUUUAAUGAAAUAUAACAACUUUAUAAAUAAAAC
rnacentral:lncRNA from 1 species